rnacentral:tRNA from 1 species
GUUUUAAUAAUUUAAAUAAAAAUAUUGAUUUUGUAAAUCAAAAAUAAGUAAAAUCUUUUAAAACU